UACGUAGGGGGCAAGCGUUGUCCGGAUUUAUUGGGCGUAAAGAGCGUGUAGGCGGCCAGGUAGGUCUGCUGUGAAAACUCGAGGCUUAACCUCGAGAUGUCGGCGGAAACCAUCUGGCUAGAGUCCGGAAGAGGAGAAUGGAAUUCCCGGUGUAGCGGUGAAAAUGCGCAGAUAUCGGGAAGAACACCCGUGGCGAAGGCGGUUCUCUGGGACGGUACUGACGCUGGAGACGCGAAAGCGUGGGGAGCGAACAGG
rnacentral:rRNA from 1 species